rnacentral:misc_RNA from 1 species
UUGCCCUAUUAACUCGUACAAUUUUUGAUUUUUCAUACAAGUAUAAAAUAUAUGAACUCAUAUAAGUUGCAAUUUUAUACAUUUUUACUUCCGUGAGGUGUGUGUGGCGUAAAACAUUUGUAUAUUUUGCACAUUUUUUGUAUGGAACUUGUAUGGAAAUCUUUAAACUAAGUUAGCUGAACUUAGUACUUGUAUUGAAAUCAUAGUUAAUGCUAAGUUAGGUCAGCUUAGCAGUUACUACUUGUAUUGAAAAUUAUACAUUUACUAACUAAUUCAUGUAUGUAAAGUGAGUUAAUAAAUUCUGUUAGUACCUGUAUGAAAUAUUAUUAUUUCUUAUACGAGUUCACAAAAUUGAUAUUUGUAUGAGUUAAGUAUAAGUUAUACGAGUUGAAUAAAUUAGUACUUGUAUGAAUGAUAUGAACUUGUAUGAGUUAGUAAAUUUAAUACUUGUAUGAAAAUUUGCAACUUGUACUAGAAGUUAAUAAAAUUUGUACUUGUAUGGAAAGCUAAACUUGUACGAGUUACUGAACUUAUUACUUGUAUGAAAGUUAAUGAACUUAUAUGAGUUGAUAAAUUUUAUACUUGUAUGAAAAAAUUUCCACUUAUUUUUAUAUUAGUUGUGUGAUGAUAAUAAAUUUUGAAUUACCUGUAUGAGAUUUUAAUAUUGUAUGAGAAUUUAAUACUCGUACGAAAAUUUAGAACUUGUAUGAGUUUAUAAUAUUAGUACUUGUAUGAAAUAUUUAAACUUGUAUGAGUUUGAUAGAUUUAAUACAUGUAUGAAAAAUUUUAAAUGAAUUUAUAGUACAUAUUUAAGUAUUUCCAUGCAAAGUUUUGUUUUAAUUGUGUUUUUAAUCCUGGUCUUA